rnacentral:rRNA from 1 species
GUGGAUGAUCCUAUGCUGUCGAGAAAAGCCUCUAGCGAGUUUCAUGGCGGCCCGUACCCUAAACCGACUCAGGUGGUCAGGUAGAGAAUACCGAGGCGUUCGGGUGAACUAUGGUUAAGGAACUCGGCAAAAUGCCCCCGUAACUUCGGGAGAAGGGGGGCCACGCCUGGUGAUCGGACUUGCUCCGUGAGCUGGGGGUGGCCGCAGAGACCAGCGAGAAGCGACUGUUUACUAAAAACACAGGUCCGUGCGAAGCCGUAAGGCGAUGUAUACGGACUGACGCCUGCCCGGUGCUGGAACGUUAAGGGGACCGGUUAGCUGCUCUUCGGGGUGGCGAAGCUGAGAACUUAAGCGCCAGUAAACGGCGGUGGUAACUAUAACCAUCCUAAGGUAGCGAAAUUCCUUGUCGGGUAAGUUCCGACCUGCACGAAUGGCGUAACGACUUCUCGACUGUCUCAACCAUAGGCCCGGUGAAAUUGCACUACGAGUAAAGAUGCUCGUUUCGCGCAGCAGGACGGAAAGACCCCGGGACCUUUACUAUAGUUUGAUAUUGGUGUUCGGUUCGGCUUGUGUAGGAUAGGUGGGAGACUGUGAAGCGGCCACGCCAGUGGUUGUGGAGUCGUCGUUGAAAUACCACUCUGGUCGUGCUGGAUGUCUAACCUGGGUCCGUGAUCCGGAUCAGGGACAGUGUCUGAUGGGUAGUUUAACUGGGGCGGUUGCCUCCUAAAGAGUAACGGAGGCGCCCAAAGGUUCCCUCAGCCUGGUUGGUAAUCAGGUGUUGAGUGUAAGUGCACAAGGGAGCUUGACUGUGAGACCGACGGGUCGAGCAGGGACGAAAGUCGGGACUAGUGAUCCGGCAGUGGCUUGUGGAAGCGCUGUCGCUCAACGGAUAAAAGGUACCCCGGGGAUAACAGGCUGAUCUUCCCCAAGAGUCCAUAUCGACGGGAUGGUUUGGCACCUCGAUGUCGGCUCGUCGCAUCCUGGGGCUGGAGUCGGUCCCAAGGGUUGGGCUGUUCGCCCAUUAAAGCGGUACGCGAGCUGGGUUUAGAACGUCGUGAGACAGUUCGGUCCCUAUCCGCUGUGCGCGUAGGAAUAUUGAGAAGGGCUGUCCCUAGUACGAGAGGACCGGGACGGACGAACCUCUGGUGUGCCAGUUGUUCUGCCAAGGGCAUGGCUGGUUGGCUACGUUCGGAAAGGAUAACCGCUGAAAGCAUCUAAGCGGGAAGCCUGCUUCGAGAUGAGUAUUCCCACCUCCUUUGAGGGGUUAAGGCUCCCAGUAGACGACUGGGUUGAUAGGCCAGAUGUGGAAGCCCUGUGAGGGGUGGAGCUGACUGGUACUAAUAGGCCGAGGGCUUGUCCUCAGUUG